rnacentral:rRNA from 1 species
AUUGAACGCUGGCGGCAGGCCUAACACAUGCAAGUCGAGCGGAUGAAGGGAGCUUGCUCCUGGAUUCAGCGGCGGACGGGUGAGUAAUGCCUAGGAAUCUGCCUGGUAGUGGGGGAUAACGUCCGGAAACGGGCGCUAAUACCGCAUACGUCCUGAGGGAGAAAGUGGGGGAUCUUCGGACCUCACGCUAUCAGAUGAGCCUAGGUCGGAUUAGCUAGUUGGUGGGGUAAAGGCCUACCAAGGCGACGAUCCGUAACUGGUCUGAGAGGAUGAUCAGUCACACUGGAACUGAGACACGGUCCAGACUCCCACGGGAGGCAGCAGUGGGGAAUAUUGGACAAUGGGCGAAAGCCUGAUCCAGCCAUGCCGCGUGUGUGAAGAAGGUCUUCGGAUGGUAAAGCACGUUAAGUUGGGAGGAAGGGCAGUAAGUUAAUACCUUGCUGUGUUGACGUUACCAACAGAAUGAGCACCGGCUAACUUCGUG